AAGUCGUAACAAGGUUUCCGUAGGUGAACCUGCGGAAGGAUCAUUAGUGAAUCUAGGACGUCCAACUUAACUUGGAGUCCGAACUCUCACUUUCUAACCCUGUGCAUCUGUUAAUUGGAAUAGUAGCUCUUCGGAGUGAACCACCAUUCACUUAUAAAACACAAAGUCUAUGAAUGUAUACAAAUUUAUAACAAAACAAAGCUUUCAACAACGGAUCUCUUGGCUCUCG
rnacentral:misc_RNA from 1 species